rnacentral:lncRNA from 1 species
CAAGGGAAUCCGACCCGCAGCGAUCAGACCCCGCCCCUUCAGGGAGAACACGGCCCGUUGGCCCCGCUCACGGCGAGAGCACCGCCCACAGGCUGAAGAUCCUGCCCCUUCAGGACGGCCGAGAACGCGCCUGCCUUGCACCACCCCCACCCCGCCCCGCGUCCUUCAGGAGAGCCGGAAACGCUCCUACCCCUACUUCGCUUCUGCACGGCCGCGAGAACGCACCUGUCCAGCCCCCUGUUCGCUCCGCCCACUCAGCGCGCGCGGGAGCGCGCGCGGGAGCAGCUCCAACUUUUUCAAUUUGCCGCCAUCUUUACGGCGGCCGACUUCCCAGCCUGCCUCGCGUCCAGGGAGGCGGAGCUCAGAUGAGGUCCGGGGAAUGAGGUGAUUCGCCCAAAAGCACACUACAAAUUGGAGUCACCAGCAGGUCUGCUAUUUUGCCACUAAACCAAUCUGCCGGUCACACCUUGGCUGUAAAGUGUCCUAACAGCCACCUACUUAUGAUUACUGCUUUCUUACCAAUAACCUCCCCAGCCUGUUGUGUGGCUCCUACAUCUUGAACAAAAGCGACCAAGGCAUACAUCUGUAGGAGACCAGAAUAUGCCACCCCAAAAUAUGCCUCCUUGGCCUAAGGAUUAUUCUGAGCUAGUAAUUUUGAGAAACAGAAGCUAUGAAAACAGCAUAAGCUACCCCUUUGAAAGAGAAAUUCACCCCGGCCACCACCCCGUCUGGGAAGUGAGGAGCGUCUCUGCCCAGCCGCCCCGUCUGAGAAGUGAGGAGCCCCUCCGCCCGGCAGCCGCCCCGUCUGGGAAGUGAGGAGCCCCUCUGCCCGGCCGCCAGGCCGUCUGGGAGGUGUGCCCAACAGCUCAUUGAGAACGGGCCAUGAUGACGAUGGCGGUUUUGUCGAGUAGAAAGUGGGGAAAUGUGGGGAAAGGAAGGAGAGAUCAGAUUGUUGCUGUGUCUGUGUGGAGAGAAGUAGACACAGGAGACUCCAUUUUGUUAUGUACUAAGAAAAAUUCUUCUGCCUUGGGAUGCUGUUAAUCUAUAACCUUACCCUCAGCCCCAUGCUCUCUGAAACAUGUGCUGUGUCCACUCAGGGUUAAAUGGAUUAAGGGCGGUGCAAGAUGUGCUUUGUUAAACAGAUGCUUGAAGGCAGCAUGCUCGUUAAGAGUCAUCACCACUCCCUAAUCUCAAGUACCCAGGGACACAAACACCGGAAGGCCGCAGGGUCCUCUGCCUAGGAAAACCAGAGACCCUUGUUCACAUGUUUAUCUGCUGACCUUCCCUCCACUAUUGUCCUAUGACCCUGCCAAAUCCCCCUCUCUGAGAAACACCCAAGAAUGAUCAAUAAAUACUAAAAAAAAAAAAAGAGAAACUCACAGUCUUAAAAGAAAUCGCUCUUUGUAAGGGUGUCUCCCUCUCUGUACCAGGAAGAGAAAGUUGACUCUAAAUCACCAGAGACCCUUAUCAAUGGAGAAGGCAGCAACUUGUUUUGUGUGCUUCUCCGGGUCUUUUUCCCAAAACUGGCCUUCCUCACUCCCUUCUUUGUUUUUAGCUGAAGAUGGUACUUAAACCUGAAUUCUAAGCCACUCCUUUGAGAAUUACUCAUUUUCUUGGGCAUCUCACAUGUAUAUGCAAAGUAUACAUGUUAAUAUAGCUCCAUUUGUUUUUCUCCUGUUAAUCUUUUGAGCUGGGCAUGGUGGCUCCCGCCUAUAAUCCCAACAUCUUGGGAGGCCAAGGCAAGAGGAUUGCUUGAACCCAGGAGCUGGAGAUCAGCCUGGGCAACAUGACAGGAGCCCAUCUCUACGAAAUAAAAAAUUAAAAAAUUAGGGCCAGGCGCAGUGGCUGACACUUGUAAUCCCAGCACUUUGGGAAGCCGAGGCAGGUGGAUCACAAGGUCAGGAGUUCAAGACCAGCGUGGCCAAGAUGGUGAAACCCCCGCCUCUACUAAAAAUACAAAAAUUAGCCAGGCAUGGUGGCAAGCGCCUGUAAUCCCAGCUACUCGGGUGGCUGAGGCAGGAGAAUUGCUUGAACCCGGGUGGCAGAGGUUGCAGUGAGCCGAGAUCAUGCCACUGCACUCCAGCCUGGGUGACAGAGCAAGACUCUGUCUCAAAAAUAAAUAAAUAAAUAGCCAGGUGUUGUGGCAAGCUCCUGUAGUCCCAGUUACUUGGGAGGCUGAGAUGGGAGGAUCACUUGAGCCUGGGGGUGUGGAGGUUGCAGUGAGCCAUGAUAGCACCACUGUGCUCUAGCCUGGGAGACACAGUGAGACCCUGUCUCAAAAAAAAAAAAUCUAUCUUUUGUUACAAGGACUCUAGCUGAGAAUUUAGAAGGGUAGCAAGAAAAUUCAUCUUUCCUCCCCUAAAUAUGCUACUGAUAGAGGCGGGAGACAGCCAAAUGCCAUCCAGGUCAUUAUGCACAGGGGGCUUGCCUAAACAUGCCUACAGUGAAAAAUUCUAUCCCUUAACACAUGUGCAGUAAGGGAAAUAAAUCAGUGUGGAGUGGCUCAGAUUAGAGGCCUACAUGUGCACUGGGGAAAUGGGGUGGAGCCACCAGGAAUUCAUGCUUUAUGCAGGGGAGCCGGGCUUCUUCAGCUCCAGUAUGGUGGCCUGAUAUUCAGUCUGUGGAGUAGGAGCCUGUUGGCAGGACCACCUCUUUGCUAAGGGCUUUCUUUUCACUUAAUACAUUCUGACCCUUCAAUGUGUCCAUGUGCCUAAUUUUUCCUGAUCGGGAGACAAGAGCCCAGAUUUUAGCUGAACUAAGAAGAAAAAUAUCGUGCGUCACUAGUUGGCCUGGAAGAACAAUGGAAUUACUCAUUUGAGAUGUGGGUUUGAAGAAAGUUAUUUUUAGUAUUCUGAUAAGCAGUUAAAAUACUGCUGUCAUGUUUCUCUCUUUGUGCCAGUCUCAUGCAGUUUCCCAGCAAAAUCACAAUUAAACUGAUAAUGUGAUUUUUAUGUUUUGGCAUCCUUUCAGAUUUUGUUUUUUUUGUUUUGUUUUUGAGACGGGGUCUGGGUGUGUCACCCAAGCUGGAAUGCAUUGGCAUAAUCACAGCUCAUUGCAGCCUCAACCUCUGGGGCUCAAGUGAUCUUCCCACCACCUCAGCCUCCUGAGUAGCUGGGACUAUCAGCGGACGCCACCAUGACUGGCUAAUUUUUAAACUUUUUGUAGAGACGGGUUUUGUGAUGUUGCUCAAGCUGGUCUUGAACUCCUGGGCUAAAGCAAUCCUCCUGUCUGAGCCUCCUGAAGUGCUGGGAUUACAGGCCACGAUGUCUGGCCUCUAAUUACUUUGAUAAUAAGUAAGCAUCUCCCCUUCUCUUUUUUUUCUGAGACAGAGUCUCACUCUAUUGCCCAGGCUGGAGUGCAAUGGCACAAACUUGGCUUUGCCUCCUGGGUUCAAGCAACCUCUGCCUCCCAGGUUCAAGCAAUUCUCCUGCCUCAGCCUCCCAAGUAGCUGGGAUCACAGGCGUGUGCUACCAUGCCCGGCUAAUUUUUUGUAUUUUUAGUAGAGAUGGCGUUUCACCAUGUUGGCCAGCCUGCUCUUGAACUCCUAACCUGCCUUCCAAAGUAUUGGGAUUACAGGUGUGAGCCACCACGCCUGGCUCUUUGUUGUUUGUUUUUGAGCUGGAGUCUCGCUGUGUCACCCAGGCUGGAGUACAGUGGCGCCAUCUCGGCUUACUGCAACCUCCACCUCCUGAGUUCAAGCGAUUCCCCUGCCUCAGCCUCCUGAGUAGCUGGGACCGCAGGCAUGCACUACCACACCCAGCUAAUUUUUGUAUUUUUAGUAGAGACGGGGUUUCACCAUGUUGGCCACGCUGGUCUUGGAACUCCUGACCUCAGGUGAUCCGCUCACCUCAGCCUCCCAAAGUGCUGGGAAUACAGGUGUGAGCCACCGCGCCUGGCCGCAUCCCCCACUUCUCUAGUGAAUUUUUUGGGGUUAUCACUGUGUUAAAAAGCUCUUCUCUUUGAGUCCCUUGGGAGAUCCCACUUUCUUCAGUAACACACCUUCUCUGGCCCUUCGUAGCUAUUUACUUUCCCAGUACUCUUUCAUCAUCUUGAAACCACCAUUGCAAAAUUAUAACUGAGACAGUGACAGAGAUCUGACCGAACCAACUCCAUCUUGCUUCUAACUUCCAAGCUGUCCUUGUUCAUUCCUGAGUGUAGGCUGAACUAACUUUGGGAGGAACUUAGUUUAUAGUUUAAAAGAAAGACAAUAAUAGCCCUUUCCCAAAACAAACCCCCAUCUUGCCUGGGGACCAGAAUGCCUUUGUAGGAGUAACAAAUUAGCCAAAAGAUUAGAAAUUAUGAUUUAGGAGUCAUGCAGCUAGAGGCUACAGGAUUCUGACCCUCCCCAAAUUGCUCCCGGGAAUAACAUCACUGAAGUCUAAGAUCAGUGCUUGAGAUAUUUUGCAGACCUCGCACUGGAUGGAUCAGCUGGCACCACCCAGAUCGAUAAACUGGCUCAUCAGAUCUUGUGGCCCCCACCCAGGAACUGACUCAAGCACAAGACAGCUUCAAUUCCCUAUGAUUUCAUCUCUGACCCGAUCAAUCAGCACUCCUGACUCACUGGAUGCCACCCACCCUCCAAAUUAUCCUUAAAAACUGUGACCUCCAAAUGCUUGGGGAGACUCAUUUGAGUAAUAAAAAAAGUCCCAGUUUCCCACACAGCUGGCUCUGCAUGAAUUAUUCUUUCUCUAUUGCAAUUCACCUGUCUUGAUAAAUUGGUUCUGCCUAGGCAGCAGGCAAGGUGAACCUGUUGGGCCAUUACAAUCUCAUAGCAGUGGCAGAAUGGACAGACCAGUGAACCCUGUGCUAGGACAACCUGCACCAGGCCCUGGCUGUUGUAGGAGGUCCUUUUUUUUUUUUUUUUUUUUGAGAUGGAGUUUCACUCUUGUUGUCCAGGCUAGAGUGCAAUGGCGCGAUCUCGGCUCACCGCAACCUCCGCCCCCUGGGUUCAAGCAAUUCUCCUGCCUCAGCCUCCCAAGUAGCUGGGAUUACAGGCAGGCACCACCACGCCCGGCUCAUUUUGUAUUUUUAGUAGAGACCGGGUUUCUCCAUGUCAGUCAGGCUAGCCCCAAAUUCCUGACCUCAGGUGAUCCACCCGCCUCCCCGCCUCGGCCUCCCAAAGUGCUGGGAUGACAGGCAUAAGCCACCGCGCCCAGCCUGUUGUAGGAGGUCUUGAACAAACCACUUAACUUGUUUGGGUGGGGCUUAGUUUCCACGUUAGUAAUCUGGAAGUAACAGUUCUGCCUUAUCUGUCUGUUAGGGUUUUGACACUUAGUGAAGUAUGGGAUUUGUAUACUGUAAAGUGAUUGAAUGUAUUUACUAGGUGCAAUACAUAAAAUACGAGUUUCAAGCACUGCUCUGCUUUUACUUAUAGAACCACGUUCUCACUUUUCUAGCCUGAUCAUUCAAGACCCUUGAACACAUCGUCCUUAUCUCCCGCUCCUCAUUGAGACCCUUCCAGAACACUACAAACUUGUAAUACUUAGCUGUAUCACCAGCAAACCAUGUCCUUCCCAAUUUCAGGACCUUUCAAUGUGCUUUCCUCUGCCUGGGGGUGGGUGGGGGGUGGAGAGUAGUUUCCUCCCAACCCAUGAAACCUCUCCACAAAGGUAGAAGAGACAGAAAACCAUUACUGAAUAAGUAUUAAACCAGAUUGUGAUGCCGUACAUCACAUGCAACCUGCUAAAGGCAACACAAAGACAGAAACUCACUUUUUCUAUGCAGCUAAGUAGAGAUAGCCCAUCACAUUAUGUAGGUUUUGCAAUUUGGAGUCAGGUGCCAAGUUAAGCCUUUGUCCUCCUAAGAAGCUGGACUCUUGGCCCUUUCGUCCCUUAACAAUUGCAUUUUUUUCUUUCUUUGUUUUUGAGACAGAGUCUCGCUCUGUCUCCAGGCUGGAGUGCAGUGGUGCUAUGUCGGCUCACUGCAACCUCCGCCUCCCGGGUUCAAGCGAUUCUCCUGCCUCAGCCUCCCGAGUAGCUGGUACUACAGGCACGCUUCACCAUGCCCAGCUAAUUUUUGUAUUUUUAGUAGGGACAGAGUUUCACCAUGUUGGCCAGGAUGGUCUCGAUCUCUUGAUCUUGUGAUCCGCCCGCCUCAGCCUCCCAAAGUGCUGGGAUUGCAGGCGUGAGCCACCGCACCCAGCCAACAAUUACACUUCAAGGAGAUGGCUCCCAAGAAACAUUCCUGAGUUGAACCUGGCCAUAUAAGAAAAAGACUUGAGUACAUUUGGAAAGGAGAGAGGCUGAAAUUUUGAAAGAAAAAGGGAGGGGGAUGGUUUCUCGUCCCUUCUUUUCCUCAGGGAAAAUUAAACCCUAUGUAUAAUUUGUAUUUGCCCUUCCACCUGCAUCACCUUUCCCACAUGCUCCCACAGGCAGGCUCCUGUUCAUUCCCAAGGCUCCGUGUCCACAUCGUGCUUGGAUUCCGCCCGGCCCCGCCUGUGCGGCCGCACCAGGAAGGCACCACCCAUUAGGGGCUCAGCGCGUCCCUCCAGGCCACGCCGUCAGGCCUCCGUCCUUUUAGCUGUAGGGGCAGAUUACGUAACUCCAGCCUUCUGGUCACUAAAGGAGGGUAACAAAGGGCGGUCGAGAGACUCCACUGAGUUGACACGCAGACGCAGCCUCAGGACCCUAAACUCUACGCCCCAGCACACCCUACCAAGCGAGCGCCCGCGGCCGCGUGACGUCAUCUACCCCAAACGCUGUGGCCCCGGCCACGCACGGCUUCGGGGCGGGACUACGCGGUGACGUCGAGGUGCGCGGCGCAGCGCGCGGCGUCAGUCUUGGCUGGCAGACCUGUACUCCGUACUCCGUACUUCGUAGUCGCAGCGGCGCGGUCUUCGGCAGUCUAGUCAUCCACCGCCAUCCUGGGCCCCACGUGUUGCCUGACCAUUCCUGAGCCCAGGUGGGAGCCGUGGCUGAGGUGACGGUCUCAAAGUGGAAGAGCUUACUGUCACAGCAACUCCUUUGCAAGAUGCCCCGUGUCCAUGAAACUGGGAGGCGACCGUGUUAGCUGCCAGUUCCUGACAGCCACCUCUCACCAGUGGCUUCACUCUGUGUCCCUGACCCAGCACAUGGCACAAGAGUGCCUGCCAUCCGUCAGUGUUUCUACAGCAGCAAUCCCAAGAUGCUGGAGCUAGAGGGGACCUGACCUGAGAGAAGAUACCUUCAGUGGCUGCCAGGCUGUUCCUUGGAACCUGUGCAGGGAUGAGGCCUGCCUGUGUUAAUACACCUAGUGAGGAGUGGAGCUGAAUUUGAAUGCAAGCCUUGGCACCUUAAUUGAGCAAGUUUGAAACCUCGCUUGUUGCCCUUCUGGAAGGAGUCAGGAAUUUCCAGUUCUGGGCCUGGGCUGUGGGUCUGGCAGACAGACCUCUGGCCCUAGGUUUGGGUGCCAGGUUCUCUGCUUCCAGAAUGAGAAGCUUUGCUGUGCACCAGGACCUGGGCCCUUCUGGUAUCUCCUGAAUGAAAAACAAGGGAUAUUUAAUAAAUAUGGAUUUAAAUAUGUGA